rnacentral:rRNA from 1 species
AAACUUUCAACAACGGAUCUCUUGGUUCUGGCAUCGAUGAAGAACGCAGCGAAAUGCGAUAAGUAAUGUGAAUUGCAGAAUUCAGUGAAUCAUCGAAUCUUUGAACGCACAUUGCGCCCCUUGGUAUUCCGGGGGGCAUGCCUGUUC